UCCUACGGGGGGCAGCAGUGGGGAAUAUUGCACAAUGGGGGGAACCCUGAUGCAGCGACGCCGCGUGAGUGAAGAAGUAUUUCGGUAUGUAAAGCUCUGUCAGCAGGGAAGAAGAAAGACGGUACCUGACCAAGAAGCCCCGGCUAACUACGUGCCAGCAGCCGCGGUAAUACGUAGGGGGCGAGCGUUGUCCGGAAUCACUGGGCGUAAAGGGCGCGUAGGCGGUUUAAUAAGUCAGUGGUGAAAACUGAGGGCUCAACCCUCAGCCUGCCACUGAUACUGUUAGACUUGAGUAUGGAAGAGGG
rnacentral:rRNA from 1 species